rnacentral:rRNA from 1 species
CCUUUGGCCUGGAAUAACACGAGGAAACUUGUGCUAAUACCGGAUAAGUCUUUACGGAGAAAGCUUUAUGCACCAUUGGAUGAGCCUGCACUUGAUUAGUUUGUUGGUAGGGUAAUGGCCUACCAAGACUGUGAUCAAUAGCUGAUUUGAGAGGAUGAUCAGCCACAUUGGGACUGAGACACGGCCCAAACUCCUACGGGAGGCAGCAGUGGGGAAUCUUGCACAAUGGAGGAAACUCUGAUGCAGCGAUGCCGCGUGAGUGAAGAAGGCCCUUGGGUUGUAAAGCUCUUUCGUCGGGGAAGAAAAUGACUGUACCCGAAUAAGAAGGUCCGGCUAACUUCGUGCCAGCAGCCGCGGUAAUACGAAGGGACCUAGCGUAGUUCGGAAUUACUGGGCUUAAAGAGUUCGUAGGUGGUUGAAAAAGUUGGUGGUGAAAUCCCAGAGCUUAACUCUGGAACUGCCAUCAAAACUUUUCAGCUAGAGUAUGAUAGAGGAAAGCAGAAUUUCUAGUGUAGAGGUGAAAUUCGUAGAUAUUAGAAAGAAUACCAAUUGCGAAGGCAGCUUUCUGGAUCAUUACUGACACUGAGGAACGAAAGCAUGGGCAGCGAAGAGGAUUAGAUACCCUCGUAGUCCAUGCCGUAAACGAUGUGUGUUAGACGUUGGAAAUUUAUUUUCAGUGUCGCAGUGAAAACGAUAAACACACCGCCUGGGGAGUACGACCGCAAGGUUAAAACUCAAAUGAAUUGACGGGGACCCGCACAAGUAG